rnacentral:rRNA from 1 species
UACGUAGGGUGCGAGCGUUAAUCGGAAUUACUGGGCGUAAAGCGUGCGCAGGCGGUUCGUUGUGUCGGCGGUGAAAGCCCCGGGCUUAACCUGGGAAUGGCCGUCGAAACUGGCGAACUGGAGUGUGGCAGAGGGGGGUGGAAUUCCGCGUGUAGCAGUGAAAUGCGUAGAGAUGCGGAGGAACACCGGUGGCGAAGGCGGUUCUCUGGGCAUGUCCUGACGCUGAGGAGCGAAAGUGUGGGGAGCGAACAGG